rnacentral:rRNA from 1 species
GGCCAGACUCCUACGGGAGGCAGCAGUGAGGAAUAUUGGUCAAUGGGCUUACGCCUGAACCAGCCAAGUCGCGUGAGGGAAGACUGCCCUAUGGGUUGUAAACCUCUUUUGUCAGGGAGCAACGCCGGCUACGUGUAGCCGGACUGAGAGUACCUGAAGAAAAAGCAUCGGCUAACUCCGUGCCAGCAGCCGCGGUAAUACGGAGGAUGCGAGCGUUAUCCGGAUUUAUUGGGUUUAAAGGGUGCGUAGGCGGGCUGUUAAGUCAGCGGUGAAAUGUCGGGGCUCAACCCCGGCCUGCCGUUGAAACUGGCGGCCUCGAGUGGGCGAGAAGUAUGCGGAAUGCGUGGUGUAGCGGUGAAAUGCAUAGAUAUCGCGCAGAACUCCGAUUGCGAAGGCAGCAUGCCGGCUCCACACUGACGCUGAGGCACGAAAGCGUGGGUAUCGAACAGGAUUAGAUACCCUCGUAA